UACGAAGGGUGCAAGCGUUACUCGGAAUUACUGGGCGUAAAGCGUGCGCAGGCGGUUCGUUGUGUCGGCGGUGAAAGCCCCGGGCUUAACCUGGGAAUGGCCGUCGAAACUGGCGAACUGGAGUGUGGCAGAGGGGGGUGGAAUUCCGCGUGUAGCAGUGAAAUGCGUAGAGAUGCGGAGGAACACCGAUGGCGAAGGCAGCCCCCUGGGCUGACACUGACGCUCAGGCACGAAAGCGUGGGGAGCAAACAGG
rnacentral:rRNA from 1 species